rnacentral:tRNA from 1 species
GUGGGGGUAGACCAGUGGUAGGUCGCCACCCUGUCACGGUGGAGGAGCAGGUUCGAUUCCGGCCUCCCACG